rnacentral:sRNA from 1 species
UGAUACAGAAAACAUCGAAACGGGGAA